rnacentral:rRNA from 1 species
AACGUAGGGGACAAGCGUUAUCCGGAUUUACUGGGCGUAAAGCGCCCGUAGGCGGCCUGACAAGUUGGACGUGAAAGCUCCUGGCUUAACUGGGAGAGGCCGUUCAAAACUGUCAAGCUAGAGUCUGGAAGAGGAGAGCGGAAUUCCUGGUGUAGCGGUGAAAUGCGCAGAUAUCAGGAGGAACACCAAUGGCGAAGGCAGCUCGCUGGGACGGUACUGACGCUGAGGCGCGAAAGCGUGGGGAGCGAACAGG